UACGUAGGGGGCAAGCGUUGUCCGGAAUCAUUGGGCGUAAAGCGCGUGUAGGCGGCCCGGUAAGUCCGCUGUGAAAGUCGGGGGCUCAACCCUCGAAUGCCGGUGGAUACUGUCGGGCUAGAGUGCGGAAGAGGCGAGUGGAAUUCCUGGUGUAGCGGUGAAAUGACGCAGAGUAUCAGGAGGAACACCGGUGGGCGAAGGCGGGUCUCUGGGCCAUAACUGACGCUGGAGAAGCGGAAAGCAUGGGGAGCAAACAGG
rnacentral:rRNA from 1 species